rnacentral:misc_RNA from 1 species
AUCCAGCAGUGGUCACAGUUCAGGUUACAGUAGUUCUGAGUUUGGUUCAGGAUCUUUCUUGGCACCCUGCACGCAGUGUAGAAGAGAACAUUCAGGACCUUAGAUGAUGGGUUCAAGAGUAUGUUUUCGGUGUGGCCAGCAGGGUCACUUUGCUAGAGAAUGUUCCGUGUUCAGCGAGCUACAAAUGGGGUCACAGGGUUCUAUUGCAAAUGUUCCUCAUCAAUUGUAUCCUGGUGCUUCUAGCAUGGUAGACAGUCAGUUCAGUGGCCAACAAGAUCGAGGACAAGGACGACGUGGAUUUGGAGGUAGGUCAGGAGAUAUAAGUCAAUUUUAGGGUUCUACAAUGUAGGGUAGGGGUCAAGCUCGAAUUUUUACCUUGACCCACUAGGAUGCUCAAGGUUUCAAUGCAGAUGUGGCAGGUAUUCUACAAUGCUAUGCACUCAUUUGUCUCUCCCGUUUUUGCCAUGAGAUUAGGUAGGAACCCUACAACUUUAGAA